GACGUAGGGCGCGAGCGUUUGUCCGGAUUUAUUGGGCGUAAAGAGCUCGUAGGCGGCUUGUCGCGUCGAAUGUGAAAACUCGGGGCUCAACUCCGAGCUUGCAUUCGAUACGGGCAGGCUAGAGUUCGGUAGGGGAGACUGGAAUUCCCGGUGUAGCGGUGAAAUGCGCAGAUAUCAGGAGGAACACCAAUGGCGAAGGCAGAUCUCUGGGCCGUAACUGACGCUGAGGAGCGAAAGCAUGGGGAGCGAACAGG
rnacentral:rRNA from 1 species